AUGUUAAAUUCUGUUUUUUUUGUUUUGUUUGUCUGUUUGUAUGUUUUUUCUUUAUCAUUAGGUCCCUCAAAUUUGCCAGCAAAAAUUAUCUUUAUUCUAACACUCCACCACAUACACACACACACACACACACACACACACACACACACACACACACACACACACACACAAAUAAAUAACAAAGGCACUUUUAAGAGCCACGUUCAUCUUGUUCACCUUUACCCAUCACCUGUACUCUCUUCAGCUCUCUUUCUCGCUCCCCUCUCCUCUCUUUGUCUCUCUUUGUCCCCCCUCCCUGUAUAUUUAUUUAUUUGUCCAUCUCUUUGUUGCGAGUCUUUCUGUCUGUUUGUUUUUCUGUCCAUCACUAUGUCCAUGAGUGAUUCAGAAAUCCAAGAAAAUCUAAUGGUCUUGGGGGACAUUUUAUAGGCGUAAUGUUUUUACACUGUACAAACUGUAUAUUCUACAUUAGCAAACUGUAUAUUCUGCCUCUAUAGCCAGGGGCACACUUAACAACUAGCUGAAACAUUCUGAGUUCAACACACAGAGACAGUUUUCUUUGACUAAAGCACAUUUAACAAGUAAUUUAAAUGCGAC
rnacentral:lncRNA from 1 species